UUUUGCUGAACAACAAACCAAGCUCAGCUCCUGGUAAAAAUUUGUUCCAUCUAAUUGAGUUUUUCUUCUAACCCUACCGCUGUUUGGUUUUAUAGCUGAGUUCUUUGAGUUUUUUGUUUCCUCUCCCGUUUAAGUUAUAGUUUAGAUGGCGGGAAGAAAUCGAGGUUCUCGUGAAGUUUUUGGCCACCGGCGCGGGUAUCCAGCAGAGGAGCAUAUCCCUCGAGGCCCUUUAAUCCGGCCUAUACCUCCUCAUCCUGCUCUGUUAGAGGAAGAACUUGAAAUUCGACAUCUUGAGCUUAGGAGGCUUCUAGAUGAAAAUCGAAGACUGGUAGAGGACAGAAUUGCUUUGGAGCGAGAUUUAAAUUCUGCAAGGGAAGAGUUCCGUCGCAUGAAUCUAGGCAUUAAUGAUAUGCGCGCUGAACAAGACCUCCAAUCUAGGGAGCUUAUCGAAAGGGUUCUGAAGUUGGAUGCUGACCUUCGGGCUACUGAGCCUAUAAAAAUUGAGGCUGCAAAACUUCGCGAUGAGAUUCAUAGACUGAAUGCCAUUAGGCAGGAUCUAACCGGGCAAAUUCAGGGUCUCUCUCAAGAACUUGCUAAGUGUCGGGCUGAAAACCAGAAAAUGCCUGGUUUAAAGACUGAGAUUGACGAACUGCAUCAGGAACUUGUGCGAGCUAGAACUGCUGUCGAUUUUGAAAAGAAUGCACAUAUUGAGCUGAUGGAACAGAGGCAGGCAAUGGAGAAGAACAUGGUCGGCAUGGCUCGUGAAGUUGAGAAGCUGCGUUCUGAGCUUGCAAAUUCUAGUGCUAGAGCAUGGAAUGCAGGUGGGGCCUAUGGAAUGAAGUACAAACACCCUGAUGCCAAUUUUCCUGCCCCUUAUGAUGACGCAUAUGGGGUUCGCCAGGGUCCUUCAUAUGGUUCCAGUUCUGCUUCCUGGGGAGGCCAUGAAAAACCAAGGAUGAAUCGCCGUUGAUGAUAUGUGGAGGAUUAAUGCGUAAGGGCUUCCCUUGCAAGCAUUGUUGCUGCCCAAUAGAGUACAGGGCAAAAAACUGUGACUUUAUGAGGAGUCAUCGCUGCUUCUACACAAAACUCUCCAGCAUGUGUGGUAAGUGUAUCAGGUAAAGUAGUUCUCUCCUCGUUCUAAAAUUUAGGUCUGCUAUUGUUCUAUGAUUCAGAAAUCAGUUUUGAGUUUGGUACUCAGGUAAGAAACCACCACACCACUUUAAAAAAUAGAUUUACUUGCAACUAUUUUGUUUUCAUGUUUAUUAUCGCUUAAGGGGCUGGAUCAUGUUUCAUGGUUUGAGUUUGCUGGGGAAAUGCUUCGGAAGACAGGUUUAAUGCAAGUAAACAGCGUAAUAAUCAUAAUAGUUUACAGUAGUUUAUUACUACAAAUUAUGGUCAUCGCGAUUAUAGUAGUGAAUUAAAUUAUAGCCUUAAGCUCAGUCCAAUUCAACAUUUUGAUAUUCCUCUCAAUUAUUUGGAGUCUUCAACUCUUCAUGGAUCAGUAUCUUGCUUGAACUGUUGCAGUUUUCUUGGACUGGCACAAUAUCUAAAUGAUGAUAUCUUGUUUUUUUUUUUUGUUUUUUCAUAUUUUGUUUCUGAGACAUGAUUGAUCGUUUGAUACAUUCUGACCGUGAUCAGAGAACUAGAUUAGCGACGCUCUUGCCCUUCUGGGUAGAAGCUUUUCGGUCAAGCUCUUCGUUUUGUUUAAUUCUCUAUAUUUUUUUCACGGUACAUGAUCGGAAGGCAUUCCAUUAGCUUUGUAGUUUUUUUAUCAAAUUGUUUGUGUUGGAAUGAUCAGUUUCUGUAUAAAUCGAAUGUGCACGUUGUACUAUUAGGCAGUAUAGCGUUGAAUUGUGAUA